CACCCUAAAAAGGAUGGUCUAGCCUGAGACCAGGCAAGGGUGCCCAGCAGACACUUGAGGACAAACUUUCAGAAAGACUUCAGGAGUGGGGUGUUCUCUAGGGACCUCAUCUGAGGCCAAUGGCUACAGGCAAUGACCAGGAUCAGAGAAGACUCACCAGUGUGAUGUCCCAGGAAAUUCCCUAGAGGGAUGAUGGCCAUAGUCUCAGGAGGGCCAGCCAGAAGAGGAGCGAUCUAGGGAGCCCUGUAGGGGUUGUCUGGGAGGCCUUUGGAUUUGAGCAGGCUAUUGCCCUGGCCAGAAACCACAGCCUCAGGGCCAUCAUGGAGACCUUUAAUGUUCUUGAAGCAGAAAAACAGGGUUUUAAUAGCUUGAUCUGCCUGUGGGAAUUAUGUCUUUAUAACUUGAUCUGCCCAUGGGAAAGCUCAACUUCCUCUGGUCACUGUGGACUUCAGAGCAGAUCUUUCGAAGAGAUUGUUCACGCUCAACAAGUUUGACUGGGUCACCCCAGACUGUGGGAUCCCACCACUCUGUCCUCAGCUUUCUUCUCUCCGUUUUGGAUCCUUCUCCUGGGGUCUCCUUAUCGCUGUCAUCCUGAGCUGACUGUAGGUUCUGUCUGUGUAGUCUGGGGCUUGACUUCAAACGAUGGUCUUUGGAUGACAGCUCCAAUGCCUGGCUCUUUUCCUUGUGCUGCAGACUUGCUCCUUCCAUAAGCAAUGGACCCAGGUCCUUUGGCUUUUGCCCCAAGAAUGGCUUUUUAGGAAAUAACUGAAUCCAGGCCUCCCUUGAGUUGACUCUCUUGCUUUUCAUCUUCUCCUGCUUUGAUGUCUGUAUUUCUUCAUGUCUCCUCUCUAGUCUGCAAAUUGGCAAUGUUGCCUGAAGCAAUUCCUUUUUCUUGGGCUUGAUGUUUCUUCCCCUCAGGACAUGUUCUUCAAGAAAAUCAAGUUCAGGGUAUUGAGAUGCUGCUCUUGAUCCCCUGCUUAGUGACAUGUUGCCAUCCCCUGUGACUAUGUCCUUCAACAAGUCCUUGUGGCUUUGUAGUGGAAGGCUUUGAAGGUUUUUUUCUCGCAUUUUCACCCUGUAUGGAAAAGCUAUUGCCCUUUCUUUUCCAUGGGUCUCUAUUGGUGGCCAGGGAUUUUUCUUUGGCCAUACACUAUCUGUUGUACUUACAAAGGCACUUCCUUGGAUCCCUGAGUUCAGAUGUUUGUCAUGGCUGUGCUGCAGUAUCUCUAUGGUGACUAACGAUGGAGUGGCUUUAGUGUCAGAGGCCCAACUCUCACCAGAAGAGCCCCAACGUAGGGGGUGAUGUCCUGGUUCUCCCAGUUGCUGUAAAACAUUAGUCAGCUCUGCCUGGCCAGAACCCACAACAGGCAACACCCCACUAUGGCCUGGCACAGUUCUGAGGAGUUUCACAGCUUGUGGAGCAAAAUGAGCCCUAGUGACCUGCCCUGAGACUUGACUGCCAAAUCUCUCCAGGCUUACAGUAACAUAUAGUCUUCUGUGUGAGCUAAAAUCUUGCCAGUUCAUUUUUCAUUCUCAUGCUCCUGGAGACUAGGGCCUUGUCCCUCCCUGAUUGAUCUCACACUGUGAUGGGAGAGCUCUUCAGUAUUUAGUUUUCUUCUCUCUGGCAUGAUCUGUCUACAAGAUAAAUACCCUGAUGUUCACUGGCCUCUGCUGUCAAUGCUCCACUGUUGUCCUGGGUUUGGAGAAAAUGAACUCUCUGGAGAGUCAUAGUCUUAGCUACCCUGCCUGUCUAUGAUGCAGUGGGCGGGGCUAAGAGAAAGAUGGUUGUGACCUGGACUGACCUGCAUAUAAGUGGAAGCCUUGGGCCCUGUGUCUGUUGGUGUUAAGAAGUCAUUAUCUAGGGAAAGCAUCAGCCUAUGGAGGGCACAGGCGUUGUACAGACAGGUGGGAGCUUCCUGUUACGAUUUAUGACGAAUUGCUGAUGAGUAGAUAUGCAUUUUGAGGACUUAAGAUCUUGGCAGAGAUUACAAGAAUGAAGCCAAGUACAUGAAGACUGUUCCUCGGCCAAGAACCUUCAUCUGGU
rnacentral:lncRNA from 1 species